UAAUGGGUCAGCGACUUAUAUUCAGUGGCAAGGUUAACCAUCUAGGGGAGCCGUAGGGAAACCGAGUCUUAACUGGGCGUUCAGUCUCUGGAUAUAGACCCGAAACCAGGUGAUCUAGCCAUGGGCAGGUUGAAGGUUGAGUAACAUCAACUGGAGGACCGAACCGACUAAUGUUGAAAAAUUAGCGGAUGACUUGUGGCUAGGGGUGAAAGGCCAAUCAAACCUGGAGAUAGCUGGUUCUCCCCGAAAGCUAUUUAGGUAGCGCCUCGGACGAAUACUACUGGGGGUAGAGCACUGUUAAGGCUAGGGGGUCAUCCCGACUUACCAACCCUUUGCAAACUCCGAAUACCAGUAAGUACUAUCCGGGAGACACACGGCGGGUGCUAACGUCCGUCGUGGAGAGGGAAACAACCCAGACCGCCAGCUAAGGUCCCAAAUUACUACUAAGUGGGAAACGAUGUGGGAAGGCUCAGACAGCCAGGAUGUUGGCUUAGAAGCAGCCAUCAUUUAAAGAAAGCGUAAUAGCUCACUGGUCGAGUCGGCCUGCGCGGAAGAUGUAACGGGGCUAAGUAGUAAACCGAAGCUGCGGCAAUAUACUUUUGUAUAUUGGGUAGGGGAGCGUUCUGUAAGCGGUUGAAGGUGUGUGGUAACGCAUGCUGGACGUAUCAGAAGUGCGAAUGCUGACAUGAGUAACGAUAAAGGGGGUGAAAAACCUCCUCGCCGGAAGACCAAGGGUUCCUGUCCAACGUUAAUCGGGGCAGGGUAAGUCGACCCCUAAGGCGAGGCCGAAAGGC
rnacentral:rRNA from 1 species